rnacentral:rRNA from 1 species
GAGUUUGAUCGUGGCUCAGAGCGAACGCUGGCGGCAGGCCUAACACAUGCAAGUCGAACGAUCCUUCGGGAUAGUGGCGGACGGGUGAGUAACACGUGGGAACGUACCUUUAGGUUCGGGAUAACUCAGGGAAACUUGAGCUAAUACCGGAUAAGCCCUUUUGGGGAAAGAUUUAUCGCCUUUAGAGCGGCCCGCGUUAGAUUAGCUAGUUGGUGGGGUAAAGGCCCACCAAGGCUCCGAUCUAUAGCUGGUCUGAGAGGAUGAUCAGCCACACUGGGACUGAGACACGGCCCAGACUCCUACGGGAGGCAGCAGUGGGGAAUUUUGGACAAUGGGGGCAACCCUGAUCCAGCCAUUCCGCGUGAGUGAAGAAGGCCUU